GCCAGAAUAGCUCAGUUGGUAGAGCAACCGCCUUGUAAGCGGUAGGUCUCCAGUUCGACUCUGGAUUCUGGCUCCA
rnacentral:tRNA from 2 species